AAAGAACUAAAGUAGACCUCUCUCCGAUAGCACUCGUGGCCAAGACGACCUCUUCUCUACAUAGCCGCUAUCUUUUCUCUGUGCAACAGUCCCAUAAUUGUCAGGAGCCUGUUUUGCUGCUUUACUUCCAGCCUCAGCAACACUUAUAUGGCGACCACAGAGGGUGCAACUGAGUCCAUUGACUCAAUAACUUUCAGUUUCUUAACAGACGAAGAGGUUCGAAAGCAUAGUUUUGUAAAGAUCACGAACCCCAGAUUGCUUGAUCUUGUGGAGAGGCCUGUUCCUGGUGGGCUAUAUGAUCCAGCUCUGGGGCCAUUAAGUGAGAGGACAAUUUGUAAGGCAUGUGGCCAGAGGUCAACCAAUUGCCCUGGCCAUUGUGGCCACAUUGAUCUUAUUUCUCCAGUUUACAACCCACUGCUCUUCAGUUUUCUUCAUAAACUUCUGCAAAGAACCUGUUUCUUUUGCUAUCAUUUUAGAGUACAGAGGGGCCAGGUUGAGAAAUGUGUAAAACAACUGGAACUCAUCGUAAAAGGUGAUAUUGUUGGGGCUAAGAGAUUAGAUUCAGUCUCGCCGAGUGAAGCCUUGUAUCCAGAGGACAGUGAUGGUAGCCAUGAAUCUUGUUCUACAAUUCAUUCUGGAGCACUGUAUCACAAUGUUGAGCAUAUGAAGCAGCAAGGAUGGACGUCCCUUCAACUUUCUGAAGCAAUGUCUGUUUUGAAUAAUUUUCUGAAGGCAAAAUUUAAGAAGUGUAAGAACUGUGAGAGGGCAAAUCCUAAUAUUACCAAACCUACUUUUGGAUGGUUCCACACGAGUGGUAUGUCAGAUGCCAGUAUUAGAGCAAAUGUGAUUAGAGCCAGCAAGCUAGGAGGGCCAUUAUCUGGUGAAAGCGAAGGGAUGACGGAUGUAGAGGAUACAGCUGGACCUCCAGAAAACCAAGAUACUGGUAGAAAGAGGCAUAAGAAAAAAGGUGGGCAAGUGUCACUUGAGUUCACUAAGCAGAAAAGUGUUUUUUCCAGGCAGCUUUUACCAUCAGAGGUUAAAGACGUAUUAGAGCUUUUAUGGGAAAAUGAGGCUCGUCUUUGCUCGUUCAUAACUGAUCUUCAGCAGCAAGGAUGUGAAAAGAAAAAAGCAGGGCCUUCUAUUUUCUUUUUAGAGACCAUUUUAGUACCUCCCAUCAAAUUCCGGCCACCAACAAAGGGAGGUGAUUCUGUGAUGGAGCAUCCUCAGACUGUGUUGUUAAGCAAGGUGCUGGAAUCCAAUAUAUCUUUGGGAGAUGCUCAUAUUAACAAAGAACAUUCGAAAAUAGUUAGGCGAUGGAUGGACCUUCAGCAAUCCAUAAACAUGUUGUUCGAUAGCAAAACUGCCAAGGGUCCUGGUCAAAGGGAUGUGGCUUCUGGAAUAUGUCAGUUGCUUGAGAAGAAGGAGGGCCUUUUUCGCCAAAAAAUGAUGGGAAAAAGGGUUAAUUAUGCAUGUCGGUCUGUUAUCUCCCCAGAUCCCUAUUUAGGUGUUAAUGAAAUUGGAAUCCCUCCAUGCUUUGCUGUAAAGUUAACUUAUCCUGAGAUAAUACAUCUGGACAGUAUAUCUUUUUGUGCCUUUGGGUGGAGUGCAAACUUUAACAAGUGCUUGCCAUGAUUUCGAACUCUUCUACUUCUUUGCUGCUUUUAAUGUUAUUAUCCUGGCAGAGAGUGACUCCCUGGAAUGUUGCCAAGUUGAGGAAUGCUGUGAUCAAUGGAUCUGAAAGUCACCCUGGAGCUACACACUACAUAGAUAAGUUGUCUAUUAACAAACUACCACCUACCAGAAAAGCUCGGAUUUCCAUUUCACGGAAAUUGCCUUCCUCAAGAGGAGCUGUUGCACAACCUGGGAAGAAUUCUGAUUGUGAAUAUGAAGGCAAGAUUGUAUAUCGCCAUUUGCAAGAUGGAGAUGUUGUUCUUGUCAAUCGACAGCCUACACUUCAUAAGCCCAGUAUAAUGGCACAUGUUGUUCGUGUGUUGAAGGGGGAGAAAACACUUCGUAUGCACUAUGCAAAUUGCAGCACAUACAAUGCUGAUUUUGAUGGUGAUGAAAUGAAUGUUCAUUUUCCACAAGACGAAGUUUCUCGUGCUGAAGCUUAUAACAUUGUCAAUGCAAAUAACCAAUAUGUCAGGCCUUCCAAUGGUGAACCACUUAGAGCCUUGAUUCAGGACCAUAUUAUUAGUGCUGUACUUCUUACAAAGAAGGACACUUUUUUAAGCCAAGAUGAGUUUAAUCAAUUACUUUAUAGUUCUGGGGUGUCCACUUCUGUGCCAAGUUCUUUCCAUGGUAGACCUGGGCAUAAAGUUUUGUGGUCACAAUCUGAAGGUGAGAUUGACACCGUUCUGCCAGCAAUAUGCAAACCAGAGCCUCUUUGGACGGGAAAACAGGUCAUCACUGCUGUGUUAAAUCAUAUUACAAGGGGUCAUCCACCAUUUACAGUCGAAAAAGAUGCCAAAAUUCCAUCUAAUUUUUUUAAGAGUAGAGCCAAUGAAUAUAAGCCCUGUGAGAAAAAGAAGUCGGGUGAAGAUAAGGAAAAGAAGUCUGUUGAAGAUAAGGACCAGAAAUCUGUUGAAGGCACUCCUGAGAAAAAUGAGCCUGAUGAAGAGAAGUUGUUCGUUUACAGGAACGAACUGGUUCGAGGUGUGAUUGACAAGGCUCAGUUUGGUGAAUAUGGUUUGGUGCACACAGUUCAUGAACUCUUUGGCUCAAACACUGCAGGCAUUUUACUCUCUGUAUUAAGUCGUCUAUUCACUGCUUAUUUGCAGAUUCAUGGUUUCACGUGUGGAGUGGAUGAUCUUUUGAUAAUGAAAACUCAAGAUGAUGAAAGGAAGAAGCAACUUGAAAGCUGUGAAAAGAGUGGGGAAUCAGUUCAUCGUAAUUUCAUUGGAAUCAAGGAUGAAAACAUUAAGAUGGAUCCAUUGGAAUUGCAAUUGAAUAUUGAAAAAACUAUACGCUGCGAUGGAGAUUCUGCCUUGUCAUAUUUGGAUAGGCAGAUGAGUAAUGAACUUAAUACUAAAACAAGCUCGGGGAUCAUCAAUAAGUUGUUGUCUGAUGGCUUACUAAAACCAUCUGGAAAGAAUUGUAUCUCUCUAAUGACUACAUCUGGUGCUAAAGGUAGCAAGGUGAAUUUCCAACAAAUUUCUUCUUUUUUGGGCCAACAAGAAUUGGAAGGCAAAAGGGUCCCUCGAAUGGUGUCUGGAAAGACGUUACCCUGCUUUCAUCCAUGGGAUUGGGCAGCUCGUGCUGGAGGCUAUAUUAUUGAUCGUUUUCUUACUGGUCUUCGUCCACAAGAAUAUUAUUUUCAUUGCAUGGCUGGUCGUGAGGGGCUUGUUGAUACAGCAGUCAAAACAUCUCGCAGUGGAUACCUUCAAAGAUGCCUGAUUAAAAAUCUCGAGUGUCUGAAAAUUGGCUAUGAUCAUACAGUUCGUGAUGCUGACGGAUCAAUCGUUCAGUUUUAUUAUGGGGAAGAUGGCGUGGAUGUUCAUCAAACAAGCUUUGUUGCAAAAUUUAAAGAAUUGGCAGUGAAUCAAGACAUGAUUCAGAAAAGAUGUGGUGGUCAGCUUGGCACAUUUAAUACUUAUAUUUCGGAAUUGCCUAAAGCUCUUAAAGAUAAAGCAGAUAAAUUCCUUGAUGAUUUUUCUCUAAUGGGGCGAGUGGCAUCUAAUUUAGUGAAACGUGAGGAUUUAUAUAAUUUAAUGAAGCAGAAGUUCCUCUUGAGCCUUGCACAGCCUGGAGAACCAGUUGGUGUGCUAGCUGCUCAGUCUGUAGGAGAACCAUCAACGCAGAUGACUCUGAAUACCUUCCAUCUGGCUGGGCGAGGUGAAAUGAAUGUCACACUUGGAAUUCCUCGUCUCCAGGAGAUCCUGAUGACUGCUUCAAGUGAUAUUAAAACACCAAUUAUGACCUGUCCCCUGCAAAAGGGGCAAAGAAAGGAGGAUGCUGAGUGUCUUGCUGAUAAAUUGAAGAAGAUCACUGUGGCAGACAUAGUGGAGGAUAUGGAUGUAUCUGUUACACGGAUGUCUACUCAGGAUAGUGAUAUUUGUAAAAUUUAUAAGCUUAAGAUGAAGCUUUACAGACCUGCACACUACCCACAAUAUGCCAAUGUAUCAGUAGAACAUUGGGAAGAAACGUUAGAGGUUGUUUUUGUAAGGGAGUUAGAGGACGCUAUACAAAAUCAUAUGCUUUUGCUUUCUAGAAUUAGUGGCAUCAAAAAUUUUUUGCCAGACUCACGGUCAAGGGCUCCAAGUGAGGCAGAUGAAGAUUAUUCUGGAGAUAGAUUACAAAAGGGAGAAAAUGAUGAGGAUAAUGAUGAUGAUGAUGAUGGUGAAAGGGCCGAGGAUCUUGGUUUAGAUGCAGAGAAAAGAAAGAUUCAAGCUACAGAUGAGAUGGAUUAUGACGAUGGCUUUGAGGAGCAUCUGAAUGAUGGGGAGUCUACAGCCAGCGAGGAGUCUUCUGGAUUUGAAAGCGAAAUUGACCAGGGUGAUAAUGAGAUUGACAUUAGAAAGGAUGCUAUGCUUGACAAUGAAGCCUCAGAAAGUCCACUACAUAGGAAGCCCUCAAAGCCCAACUCAAAGAACACAGGUGAAAUCCAUUCCAAACCCAAGUCAAGGGAUAAGAAGAAUAAACAAAAGGCCAAGCAGAAGAAUAGGCCGAAAUUAGUGAAAAAGGACUUUGAUAGAGCAAUCUAUGUGGAAGCCAAGGGAAUGCACUUUGAGGUCCACUUUAAAUUCAUCAAUGAGCCUCAUAUUUUGCUGGUUGAGAUUGCUAAGAAGACGGCGAAGAAGGUUUAUAUCCAGAACCCUGGGAAGAUUGAGCAAUGUCGAGUGACUGAUUGCAAAGAAAAUCAAGUGAUUUACUAUGGGGAAAAUCCGAAGGAAAGGGUUGAUAUUAAGCCUACAGAAAAAGGAAAGGUUCCUGCAUUGCAUGCAACUGGGGUGGAUUUCAAUACUUUCUGGCAAAUGCAAGAUCAAUUGGAUGUUAGGUAUCUAUAUUCCAAUAACAUUCAUGCUAUGCUGAGAACUUACGGAGUGGAAGCCGCCAGGGAAACCCUUAUUAGAGAGGUAAAUCAUGUAUUCAAGUCUUAUGGUAUUUCUGUCAGUACUCGGCAUUUGUCACUUAUUGCUGACUUUAUGACCCAUUCUGGUGGGUAUCGUCCAAUGAGCCGUCUUGGGGGCAUAGCAGAGUUGACAUCGCCUUUUAGUAAAAUGUCUUUUGAGACAGCCUCUAAAUUCAUUGUUGAAGCAGCACUGCAUGGUGAAACCGACAACUUGGAGACACCGUCUGCUAGGAUAUGUCUUGGAUUACCAGUGAAAAUGGGUACUGGUUCUUUUGAUUUGAUGCAAAAACUGGAAAUUUGAUGUUUAUUUUAAUUUCUUAAGGAUGCUGAUUCUGAUGAGCUUCCUGUCUUAUUAAUAUAUAGACAACGUGUAUAAAUUUUUCUCCUAAUUAAUAUGAUUAUGCAUUGUUCAAGAUUUCA
rnacentral:misc_RNA from 1 species